AUAAUAAAUAACAAAAUAACAACAAAGCCCAACCUAAAUACUCCGUAAUAUUCGCUGCCCAAGUUAUUAUCAUCAUUUUCAUAGUCACCGCUUUCACUAACAUUCACCGUCUCUGGAAUAUCAAUGGCGGAAGCAGUCUGCCCUGCGCAUUGCGCAGCAUGGGCGCGCGACUACAUUGGGUAUUGCUUAUGCACUACCAGUGACGCCGUCUCUUUAUCCCUUGGUUUGGCUAGUGUUAUUAGUUGGGGUGUUGCCGAAAUCCCUCAAAUUAUCACCAAUUUUAAGACUAAAUCUACCGAAGGCCUUUCCUUUGCUUUCUUGCUUACUUGGAUUAUUGGGGACUUUUUCAACAUGUUUGGCUGCUUGCUAGAACCAGCUACUCUUCCUACACAAUUUUAUAUGGCCUUGCUGUACACUGUGACUACCUUGACUCUUACAUUGCAGUCUGUAUAUUAUGGUCACAUCUAUCAUCGAUUAAAAAGUAAAAGACAAUGCAACAAGGAUGUGAUGCCUCAUCAGGUAGAAGUGGGAGGAGAGUAUAAUGUACAUCAAAACGGUGGUGUUGAGAAACAAAAUGGAAAUUAUGGCCACACACCAAUAUCCAGUGCAAAUCAGAGUGGUGCUACAAUGAGUUCACCUAUUCCACUUCCUGGCAUUCCACGUAGUCAUUCUGCAGGACAAGAUUCCUUUUACACGUCAGCAAGAUCUUUGUCGACAAGCCAUACUCCAACAAGGAGGUCUUUUGCUGCACCAUGGAGACCCUCUACCACAGUGGAUGUUGAGGAUCCUAUUGAAGAGCCUUUGCUUGGUGGAUCCUUGCCAACUAGGCUGAUGCAUCCGUCAAAACCGAAAAACCUUUUGUGUAUUGUGCCUGCUAUAAUUUUCAUCGUUGGAACCCUGAAUUUUACCCGUAGAGACACAAGGCUGAGUUUGGCUGUUGAACUACCAAACAGAAAGCUUUUGCAGGUCAAUGGUCAGCAGAAGAUCACAUCAGGUGUUGGUGAGGGAAUAGGCACAUACAUGGGUUGGGCUAUGGCAGUUAUUUACAUGGGUGGACGGCUUCCGCAAAUUUGCCUAAAUUUUAAAAGGGGCCAUGUUGAGGGGCUCAAUCCACUGAUGUUCAUGUUCGCAUUGUUAGGAAAUACAACUUAUGUGGCCAGCAUACUAGUUAAUAGCUUGGAUUGGUCGAAGAUUUUCCCAAACCUUCCAUGGCUGGUUGAUGCAGGAGGCUGUGCACUUCUUGACACAUUUAUACUACUUCAGUUUGUAUAUUUUCUACGUCAGCGAUCAUAUCAUCGUGGGACCAAGCAAAGCACAGAGACACACAUUCUACAUUAAGUUAGAACUUUACUUUCUCAGGGACUAAGGAGAGGCAUUUGCCAAUUUUUUUGAAGGGGAAGAGUUAGAAUAGAAGGUGGCGAGUUAGCGCCUAUCAAUUACUCGUAGUAAUCAUCAACUCCCAAACAUUGGAGGGAAAAAGGAAGGAAAAAAAGAAAAAAAAAAAAAGUCAACGUCGGUAAAUAGUCAAACUCCCAGAACCUGGCAAAAGGGAAAUUUAUGCAUCUGAAAUCACGACAUUGAAUCUCAUUGAUAUCAAACUGACAGCGCUGGGGAUGCUGCUUGGCUUCAGCGUAACCUCAUAUCACAAAUUGCUUACCAUGAUAUAUUUCUAACUAUGAUUUUUCAGUUUUUGUGGUCUGUCCUGGACAAAACUCCAAUUUUGUUUUUUCUCAUUUCUUGUUGAUAUUCCUUUGACAACUGAAAACAGCUUUUAAAUUUUCGAAAUUGUCUCAUUUUAAAACAUUGUAAACAGAUCCGUAAUAUUUGUUACCAUA